UUUGUGGAGAGUUUGAUCCUGGCUCAGGAUGAACGCUGGCGGCGUGCUUAACACAUGCAAGUCGAACGGAAAGGCCGAAGCUUGCUUCGGUACUCGAGUGGCGAACGGGUGAGUAACACGUGGGUGAUCUGCCCUGCACUUUGGGAUAAGCCUGGGAAACUGGGUCUAAUACCAGAUAGGACCACGUCUUGGAUGGUGUGGUGGAAAGUUUUUUCGGUGUGGGAUGAGCUCGCGGCCUAUCAGCUUGUUGGUGGGGUAAUGGCCUACCAAGGCGUCGACGGGUAGCCGGCCUGAGAGGGUGUACGGCCACAUUGGGACUGAGAUACGGCCCAGACUCCUACGGGAGGCAGCAGUGGGGAAUAUUGCACAAUGGGCGCAAGCCUGAUGCAGCGACGCCGCGUGGGGGAUGACGGCCUUCGGGUUGUAAACUCCUUUCGCCAGGGACGAAGCGUAAGUGACGGUACCUGGAUAAGAAGCACCGGCUAACUACGUGCCAGCAGCCGCGGUAAUACGUAGGGUGCGAGCGUUGU
rnacentral:rRNA from 1 species